rnacentral:rRNA from 1 species
CCUACGGGGGGCAGCAGUAGGGAAUAUUGGACAAUGGGCGAAAGCCUGAUCCAGCCAUGCCGCGUGAUAGAUGAAGGCCUCUGGGUUGUAAAUAUCUUUUAUCUGGGAAGCGGUACCAGAGGAAUAAGCACCGGCUAACUCCGUGCCAGCAGCCGCGGUAAUACGGAGUGUGCAAGCGUUAUCCGGAUUCACUGGGUUUAAAGGGUGCGUAGGCGGGCUGAUAAGUCAGUGGUGAAAGCUCCGAGCUUAACUUGGAAACUGCCAUUGAUACUGCCAGUCUUGAAUGUCGUAGAGGUAAGCGGAAUGUUGCAUGUAGCGGUGAAAUGCUUAGAUAUGUUACAGAACACCAAUUGCGAAGGCAGCUUACUAUGCGAUAUUGACGCUGAGGCACGAAAGCGUGGGGAGCAAACAGGAUUAGAUACCCUUGUAGUC